ACCUGGGAUGCUUUCUAAAGCUUAUUUAUUUGGUCUGGAAGAGAACAUCUUGUUCAUACGAACAUAUGAAACUGGUUAGAGAGUGUUGUCCCCUACAACUUGCAAUGGCAUGAGGGAGUAUCAUUUCUAGGAGGACCAUUUAUGUAUCUGGAUGACCAUUUACAUUGCAGAUUUCCAGAAGAGCAGUCCAGCUCAUCCCUGGCGAGCAAACGCAGGUUUUCUCCGUAACUUUCCAGUAGGAUUUGCAGUGGGUGGUCACAGACUUGAGAGCUUGGCAGCCUUUUCAGUGGUGCUGUUUGCUGCAGAAACCACUUAUUUUUAUCCUUGCAGGGAAUAAUCAUCUCCUGAUGUCUGUGCUGAAAUCUGUGAUGCGUGCAGCUGAGCUCCUUAACUUCACAAGGUCUGUGCCACCACCCAUCACAGACCCCAAAGCAAGACGCCAACCCUGGCUUUACCCAUCCUCUUCCUCACCUCUUGCAGAUCCUUCUCCCUACACCUACUCCUGGCCUUUCCCUUCAGCCAGAAGAGCAUGUCCUGGAGAGCAGGUCCCACUGCGUGUUGGCUACUGGUUGGCAACCAAUUCCCACGCUGGGCAGCAACUCCUAGACCAGAUCACCUUAUCUCUGUACAUCCCUGUCCAGAAGAAGAGUCCUUGCACUGCCCCAGCUUGCCCCGGCUUCCCCACCCCACCGAUGUGUCUGCAAUAGCCUCUGACGUGUCCUCAAGACAGAAGGGAGGGCGAAUGGAAUGGUUCCUCCUCCCACCACCCUGUCUUGGAGCGCGUGGGAAGUCCGACGACUGCUGCUGGGAGAUUGUGAUGAGUCAGUGUUUGCACAUGAAGAGUCACUGCAGGGAGGUGCCAGAGAGGAGGGAGGGAUGCCCAGCCUCGUCGGGGAGUAUCUCUCCUGGGACAUGCCAGGAGGUGCCUCUUGGGAGCUCCAUCACACCAAGUCUGGGGAACCACGCCAUCCAACAUGCUGUUGGAUGGGAGGCCAUGGGAAGAAUGACUGCUAAAGAUGCUCCUAAGCACAUGUGGUGGCUUCAGACGUGGAUUAGCUCAGGACUUCAUCCCUGGAUUUAG
rnacentral:lncRNA from 1 species